CCCUGUUAUUCAUUUUUAUGCAAUGCAAUGAUGGAAUUGUGAGGGAUUUUUCCAUGUUUCUGGUUGUGUUUUGUAUUCAUUUAUUUUGUGUAUUAUUUAUGACUUUAAGAAAUAUUUUUUUGAAAAAUGUACAAAUGCUUUUCUGUUGUCAUCUUGUUACAAACAAGGUGACUGUUUUUUUAAAUGUUUUUUAUUGAAACAACGUUUGUGGAUGAGUAAAAAAAUAAUAGGAAAUAUGUUUUGGGGUAAAGUAGUAAUGAAAGAGUUGUUUUGAUUUGUUUUAUGUAGUUAUAGUUUUAAUUAGCUGUUUUUAUGUUUAUGUAACCCACAAAUUUUCUUUCUUAUGAUCAUUUUAGUGCUUUUAACUCCGUUCUUAAACUUCUAACGCAACAUUUCAAUUUUUGGUUUAUUUUGUUUCAAAAAAGUUUAAGCUAAUAUUUUAUUUGAUGUCAAAGAACAGGAAUGUUUUCAAAGUUGUCAUUUUAGUUAACUUAAAUAACCUUGAUUUGUAUAAAUAUGAAUUGUAGAAAUAAUUUCAACAUUGACGUGAGUCAUACAUGCGUAUAAUCCUGUGCUCAGCCUAAUUCUGUCUAAUUUCUCCCAGAAUGAAACUAACGUCUAUCGGAGUCAAUCUCAUGUGUGAUGUCUGAAGACGAAGAGAUAUAAGCCACAGACACGUAAUCUUCAUCACAACAUGUCCUAAAGCUCUUGAUAAUUCUCAUCUCCAGCUAUUUGUGCUACGAGAGUCAGAGAUGACCUUAAUCAAGUCAUCAUCAUAUUAGAGACCUUGUGUGUGACCUGUGCCUACAUUUCAUAUGUAUUAAUAUAUGUGCGUCCGUGUGCGCUUAGUCAUUUUUCAGGUACAGAAGAACAGCUGAUGUGUUUGACAGGGGAAGGGGAGGACACAAGAGGUCUCUGCAAACAUCUCGCUGUUACUUAUAUCCCUUCAAACGGCGCCCUCACGUCAAUCCCAGCAUUCCCUUUGUCCGAAAGUUUGCCGAGAACAAACUUCACCCACGUCUUCAAAACCCGAUCGCUUUGCUUUAUUCUGAUCAAUGUGCUCCACGCUUCUACGCCGUGUCAGAGUGGGAAGAUAAAAAAGCAGAAGGGAAGGAGGGGGGUGGCGGGCGGACGGCUUACUUUUUAGAUGCCAAUUGUAUGCGUCUCUGUGGCUGCCUCACCUGUGUUGCUUUGAUCAUAGCUGAGCACGGGGUGGCGUUUGAUUCCGGGGUUACUUUGACAGCUCGCCGGCUGGCAGAGGCCUCUUGGAUGACUGAAGAUCAGAGGAGAGAGGCUGGAAAGCAGAAGUCCAGCCGAGAGAAGAUCAGAAGAGGCACAACUUCAACCGGAGGUAUUGUGAAGGUCAUCUCACUCCAAAGUUGAGCUACCAACAGCUUAUAACGGCACAUGUGUUUGGAUGAACAAGUGCACGUGCUGACAUGGCUUUUUUGUCCUCUUACAGAUUUCAAAUUGUAGGUAAUAAUUGUUUUUAAUAAACAAUUUGUUGUAAUAAAUUUCUAAAAUAUAUAUAUAUUUUGUUCAUAUUAUUAAAUAAACAAUUUGUUGAA